AAAAAUCUGAAAAAUAAAAAAGUUGAUAACACUUGCCAUUACGGAACAUAUCGGAAACAAAUAGUAGAAAGGAAAAGAGAUAAUUGUUGUGUUGGAUUUCGCAUCCACCGCUCACAUUGUUCUUAGCAGCCAACACGUUGUCAAUAUGCCUUGUUGUCGUCUUAUUACCUCUUUUCAUGUGACCGGGAGCCACCAGGAGAACCUUAUCAUCUCAUCCCUUCCCUCCCACAGUGUUAAUAGUUCAGUCAGGCUUGUGGUAGCGGAGGUGGCGAAGUGGAGUGCAGGGAUUUAUUACAGUAGAGCCUUGGGAGUAGGAGCGGCGCGUGGUGGGAGAUGUGGGAGUUCCACCCUGCUGGUGCUCCCUGCUGGUGCUUCCACGGCACAUCGCCUGAAUCAACUCUAGCGGAUCUUGGCGCACCUCCUCUGCCUGGUAGCCACCUUCCUCACACAACGACGACGGAGAGCUCGUUAUCAGGAGGCAGAUUAGGCUCUGCUUGAUGCACACCACCAUGAGUGUUUAGAUCUAGUAGAGUCCAUGCGAUCCGCAUGUGGUGAUGUCGCUGGAUCUAGUGCGGCUGCUCUGCCAUAUGGAAACCUCCCUCACACACCACUAGUGGGGAUUGGAGUGGUGGAGACGCCAAGCAUGCGGCAGGUGCUUCGGCAGGUAGCUAUUCUCUUUCUCUCCCUCCGUCCCUCCCUCUAGAUCCGUUGGAUUUCUCGUGACGCGUGAAGUGCAGCUACCGGGUGCUUGCAAUCGGGAUACAAGUUGGGUUCUGGACGAUGAGUAGGGACGUGAAAAGCUAGGGCCUGCUCAGCUUCACAGAACUCAGCUCAGCUUCAUGAACUUCAGAGCUUAGCUUCAAAGUUGAGAAUUUUUUGGAAGUGUUUGGCUUGGAGAUCAACUCUAGCUUCAUGAAAAUAGGAGUUUGUAUGGAAAGGUCUUUUCUACCCUUGAAUAAUGCAUGAGAUUGUUUUCUUUUUAGUACAAACCAUUGGAGAUAUGUAAUAUGUUUGUAUUAUCAAUAAAAAAUUGAAAAACAGUACAAAAUAAA